GACUUAAAAUUAAAUGAGCCGAGUUUGAACAAAAUAAAAGACUCGAAAUUUAUUUCAAGCCGAGCUUGAGUAUUACUCGGCUCGUUCGAAUUAGACUCGAAAAGCNAUAUAUAUAUAUAUAUAUAUAUAUAUAUAUAUAUAUAUAUAUAUAUAUAUAUAUAUAUAGAGCUAGGCUCUUAUGCUUUCGAAAAUACGGAAGCAUCCGUAUUUAUAAGUUGUUUUUAAUAAUGGGGCAUCCGAUUCGGCGAUCGGUUCCGUUAGACAUGAUCUACUCUAUUAGAACUACCUAGAAACCAAAUUUCAUAAUUUUUUGACUUCAUUUGUGUAGUAAACGAGUAGCCUCAAAAUGAACGGCUGAAAAUAAAAAUCUCAUAAAAAACAGUGAUAAAGGACUCAAAUUUCAAAUCGGAAGUAUUGGCCUUACUAUUGAUGUUAAGUAGAAUUUUCUAUUAAAUUUUCAUCUAAUUUGAAUACUUUUACACCGUUGAGCUUAAAAACGUGCCACAUCGGCCGUUAAAAUAGUCAUUUUUGAGACCUUUUGAUCGCUUGGUAAAUGAUGUCAAAAAAUUAUAAAAUUUAGUUUCUUAAUAGUUCCAAUAGAAUAGAUUAUACUUAACAGAGCCGAUUGUCGAAUCGGAUUUUCUAUCAUUGUAAAUAAUUUAUAAGCACUGAGUUCUCCGUACUUUCGAAAGUACAGGAGACUUACUAUAUAUAUAUAUAUAUAUAUAUAGAGAGAGAGAGAGAGAGAGAGAGAGAGAGAGUUGAGGUAGAAUACAUUCAAAAGCACCAAUGAGGUGGUGCUUUUGAGUUUUUUUAACCAUUGGAUGGAGGAAUGUAAGGUUGUGAUGAUGGUGGUAGGUGGAAUAGCGUUUGAUUCAAGGGUUAUUAGUAAUGAAAGAGUAGAUCCAAGAGCUAGAAACUUAAAAGCACCAAUGGGGUGAUACUUUUAAAAGUAUUCUAGCUCAAUUCUAUAUAUAUAUAUAUAUAAUGUAUUUUAAUUAUAUAUAGGCUUUAAUUUAAUUUGGGCCAUUAUUGUUGGCCAAUAAAAUAAUCCCAACAAGUACAACCGUGCAAUUGAGCCCAACUCUAAAUUUACAUAACACACUCUCUCUUUCAGACUUUCACUGUUGCACAUAAUCCUAAAACAUGAUAACAUUCAAAUUCUCAAAUCCCUAAUUGUUUUCCCCUCUCUCUCUCUCUCUCUCUCUCUCUCUCUCUCUCUCAGACCCUCACCCAGUCAGGCAGUCACCCUCUCUCUCAGACCCUCACCCAGUCAGGCAGUCACCCUAACUCAUAUUUCUUGUAAUUAUUUUGUAUUUUGAACUAUUGGACAUGUUGCAUUAAAUUAUAGGUAAUGUUAUAUAAAAAUUAAACUAUUGAUUAUAUAAUGUCGAGAAUUUCAAUCGGCUCGUUUAGAGCUCGAGAUCGGCUCGACUCGAAAUUAGGCUCGCUCGAGCUCGGCUCGAAUUAAUUUCAAGCCGAGCUUGAGCCUAGAUUUAGGCUCGAAAUUAAUUUCAAGCCGAAUUUGAGCUGACAUAAGCUCGCUCGAGCUCGGCUCGUUUUCACCCCUAUUAUUUAGAGCCUAUUUGAUUCCUUGAAAAAUACCC
rnacentral:lncRNA from 1 species